rnacentral:rRNA from 1 species
UAAGGAAUAUUGGUCAAUGGACGCAAGUCUGAACCAGCCAUGCCGCGUGGAGGAUUAAGGCCCUCUGGGUUGUAAACUCCUUUUAUCUGGGAAGAAAUGUACUUUUUCUUGAGUACUUGACGGUACCAGAGGAAUAAGCACCGGCUAACUCCGUGCCAGCAGCCGCGGUAAUACGGAGGGUGCAAGCGUUAUCCGGAUUCACUGGGUUUAAAGGGUGCGUAGGUGGGCAGGUAAGUCAGUGGUGAAAUCUCCGGGCUUAACCCGGAAACUGCCGUUGAUACUAUUUGUCUUGAAUAUUGUGGAGUUAAGCGGAAUAUGUCAUGUAGCGGUGAAAUGCUUAGAUAUUACAUAGAACACCAAUUGCGAAGGCAGCUUACUACACAAUCAUUGACGCUGAGGCACGAAAGCGUGGGGAUCAAACA